UACGGAGGGAGCUAGCGUUGUUCGGAAUUACUGGGCGUAAAGCGCACGUAGGCGGCUACUCAAGUCAGAGGUGAAAGCCCAGGGCUCAACCUUGGAACUGCCUUUGAAACUAGGUAGCUAGAAUUCUGGAGAGGUCAGUGGAAUUCCGAGUGUAGAGGUGAAAUUCGUAGAUAUUCGCAAGAACACCAGUGGCGAAGGCGGCUCACUGGCCCGAUACUGACGCUGAGGCACGAAAGCGUGGGGAGCAAACAGG
rnacentral:rRNA from 1 species